rnacentral:piRNA from 1 species
UGCAUGAUUUUGUUUGCUGUCUUCUGUC